UGUAUACAAUCAUGGUGUUCCAAGGAAGAAGAUGAAGCCACAUGGAGUCAAUGAUGAGAUUUUGAACUUCACUUCUUCAAGUUAAGCUAGUAACAGAUCGCCCACAUCCACGAUCCCGCGGCCCUGCCUUCCGCCGACCGCUCCGAUCUCGCGAUCCUGCGUCCCGCCGGCGACCCGUGCCCCGCCCCACGCCGUCCCGGUGAGGUUCUGCGCCGACCGCUCCCGUCCCACCCCUGCGUCGCCGGCUCCCUCGACUCCCUGCGCCGUCGGCUCCCGUCACGCUUGCGCCGCCGAUUCCCCCGGUGUUCGUCGUCACCAGCAAGAUUAAUUGUCGCACGACGACUGGGGCCACCUCCAUCUGCUGCGGCAGGUGUGGCGUGGCACAUUUAGGCAUGAGGGGAGGAUGCUGUCAUGAGACGUAGUCGUUGCCAAGUACGUCAGGUUGCCACCACCACCAAAGUCGCAGUAGCCGAAGACAACGGCUGUGAACUAGGCUGGUUCAUGGUGCUUCGUGAGACGUCUCUGCAGAGUAGUUUCAGCAAUAGGUGGUGUGGUUGUUUGCCAUCAUCAACCACACGGCGGCAUCUCUGACUUCAUAUGGCUGUGCAGCUCUUGGCAGGAAAUGGGUGAAUUCAAGGAGCUGAUGCACAGCGGUGGUGCUGUGGAGAGGUGAGCUAUGGUAAGAGUGGAUGCUGCAGUCUAGCAGACAUGGCAUGCAGACAUCACACCACUGCAAACAGGUGAGAACAAAUGAAUUAUUUUCUUAUUGUUGUCAACAAAUGAACUAGUACCAAAUAAUAAUUAAUGCAUUACUGAAUCCAUGUGAAAGUCUCAGACCUGUGAUGUCUUGGCGCCUGCAUGUACCAACGCUGAAUAUGGGGUUGACCAAGCUCCCCCCAAGUUUAAAGUGGGCUUCAAGGCACCGUACCGGAAGAAUCCCCGGAGCCGGAGGCGACCGUUGCGGAGCCGGAGGCCGACGAACCUGAACUCGACCUCCGCUGC